CUCCUUCUAAAGUGCAGGAAAUGGCAUUUCAGGGACUCGAGUUUAAAAUUUUCCCAGGGGGAAUGCCCCCGGACCCCCAGAAUGUCACCUGUCAUCACCCCCCUUCAGCGAGCACUAAGUGUGCCCCUUCCCCUCUUUUACAGCCGACGCCUGUGGUUAUCUAACUUAUCUCACUUAUCUGUACGGAAAUAAAGUCAUAUAAUUGUGUUUAGACUUUAAGGCAACAUCCAGAUGAUUGUUAC